UACGUAGGGUGCGAGCGUUAAUCGGAAUUACUGGGCGUAAAGCGUGCGCAGGCGGUUUUGUAAGCCAGAUGUGAAAUCCCCGGGCUUAACCUGGGAAUGGCAUUUGGGACUGCAAGGCUUGAGUGCGGCAGAGGAGACUGGAAUUCCCGGUGUAGCAGUGAAAUGCGUAGAUAUCGGGAGGAAUACCGAUGGCGAAGGCAGGUCUCUGGGCUGACACUGACGCUAAGGAGCGAAAGCGUGGGGAGCGAACAGG
rnacentral:rRNA from 1 species